rnacentral:rRNA from 1 species
AACGCUAGCUACAGGCUUAACACAUGCAAGUCGAGGGGUAACAAGAGGAAAGCUUGCUUUCCUUGUUGACGACCGGCGCACGGGUGAGUAACGCGUAUCCAACCUGCCUAUAACUAGGGAAUAACCUUGCGAAAGUAAGACUAAUACCCUAUGAUUUCCUUUGAUGACAUCAGAUUAGGAAUAAAGAUUUAUCGGUUAUAGAUGGGGAUGCGUCUGAUUAGCUUGUUGGCGGGGUAACGGCCCACCAAGGCAACGAUCAGUAGGGGUUCUGAGAGGAAGGUCCCCCACAUUGGAACUGAGACACGGUCCAAACUCCUACGGGAGGCAGCAGUGAGGAAUAUUGGUCAAUGGGCGGAAGCCUGAACCAGGCAAGUAGCGUGCAGGAUGACGGCCCUAUGGGUUGUAAACUGCUUUUAUACAGGAAUAAAGUUAGCCACGUGUGGUUAUUUGUAGGUACUGUAUGAAUAAGGACCGGCUAAUUCCGUGCCAGCAGCCGCGGUAAUACGGAAGGUCCAGGCGUUAUCCGGAUUUAUUGGGUUUAAAGGGAGCGUAGAUGGAUUUUUAAGUCAGUUGUGAAAGUUUGCGGCUCAACCGUAAAAUUGCAGUUGAUACUGGAAGUCUUGAGUACAGAUGAGGUAGGCGGAAUUCGUGGUGUAGCGGUGAAAUGCUUAGAUAUCACGAAGAACUCCGAUUG